AUGUUUUCUUUUUUCUUUUUUUGUGAUAUACCCAAGACCCACCUUGGACUCAAGGGACACAAAUUUGGUCUUCUUCAGGUCUGUACAGAAGCUGGAGAUGUCCUGGGCCACCUGGAUGCAUGGAGACAUUGGAGAAAACAGAACCAUGAGAGUAGCGAGAAUUUCAGCCUGAGUAAAAGGUCAGCAGCACACCAGGUUUCUGAAGGUGAAAUCAUGUGGAACAUUGGGCUGGACUCCAUUUUGGACAACCAAAAUGUGGAAUUCUGGCAUAGAUGAAGUACAUGGAAAUCAAGAAAAUGGAUGCCAGAAAUAAGACUCAUCAACGCACUGAGUGUGGCCCAAGAUUUUUGCCUGCCUCCUACCCACUCAGCAAGGAGCCACAGUGAGUUUGUGGUAAUACUAGCUAUCCAUGUGUCUUCCAUGAGCAUUUGCAAAAUGAUGAUAAAUUACCCAAACUGUGGCAAAGUCUCUGUACCUAUUGCAAGACCUAGGGGUAGGAAUGUGCGUUAGCUAAAGCAAUCCAUAACAAUUUUGAAGUUACUGGCACAUGUUAAGAAACAGAGUAUCUUGAUCCUUCUGAGAAAAUUUUGCAAAUGUUCUGCUAUAAUUGUAUGUAAAUCUGAGACUUGGCAUCAGCAUAUUUCCUCUUAGCAAAUGUGUCUGAAUAAAUUGAUCCACCUUGUCUAAGACA
rnacentral:lncRNA from 1 species